rnacentral:rRNA from 1 species
GACGAACGCUGGCGGCGUGCUUAACACAUGCAAGUCGAACGGAAAGGCCCCAGCUUGCUGGGGUACUCGAGUGGCGAACGGGUGAGUAACACGUGGGUGAUCUGCCCUGCACUCUGGGAUAAGCCUGGGAAACUGGGUCUAAUACCGGAUAGGACCGUGCUUUAGUGUGUGCGGUGGAAAGUUUUUCGGUGCAGGAUGAGCCCGCGGCCUAUCAGCUUGUUGGUGGGGUAAUGGCCUACCAAGGCGGCGACGGGUAGCCGGCCUGAGAGGGUGUACGGCCACAUUGGGACUGAGACACGGCCCAGACUCCUACGGGAGGCAGCAGUGGGGAAUAUUGCACAAUGGGCGCGAGCCUGAUGCAGCGACGCCGCGUGGGGGAUGACGGCCUUCGGGUUGUAAACCCCUUUCGGCAGGGACGAAGCUUUUGUGACGGUACCUGCAUAAGAGGCACCGGCUAACUACGUG